rnacentral:rRNA from 1 species
AUUGAACGCUGGCGGCAGGCCUAACACAUGCAAGUCGGACGGUAGCACAGAGAGCUUGCUCUCGGGUGACGAGUGGCGGACGGGUGAGUAAUGUCUGGGGAUCUGCCCGAUAGAGGGGGAUAACCACUGGAAACGGUGGCUAAUACCGCAUAACGUCGCAAGACCAAAGAGGGGGACCUUCGGGCCUCUCACUAUCGGAUGAACCCAGAUGGGAUUAGCUAGUAGGCGGGGUAACGGCCCACCUAGGCGACGAUCCCUAGCUGGUCUGAGAGGAUGACCAGCCACACUGGAACUGAGACACGGUCCAGACUCCUACGGGAGGCAGCAGUGGGGAAUAUUGCACAAUGGGCGCAAGCUUGAUGCAGCCAUGCCGCGUGUAUGAAGAAGGCCUUCGGGUUGUAAAGUACUUUCAGCGGGGAGGAAGGCGAUGUGGUUAAUAACCGCGUCGAUUGACGUUACCCGCAGAAGGAGCACCGGCUAACUCCGUGCCAGCCGCCGCCGUAA